CAGGCUCACGCUUGAAUACAUUAGCAUGGAAUAAUGAAAUAGGACAUCCGAUUCUAUUUUGUUGGUUUCUAGGAUCGAUGUAAUGAUUAAUAGGGAUAUCGGGGGCAUUAGUAUUCAAUUGUCAGAGGUGAAAUUCUUGGAUCGAUUGAAGACUAACUACUGCGAAAGCAUUUGCCAAGGAUGUUUUCAUUUAUCAGGAACGAAAGUUAGGGGAUCGAAGACGAUCAGAUACCGUCCUAGUCUCAACCAUAAACGAUGCCGACUAGGGAUCGGACGGUGUUAUAUCUUGACCCGUUCGGCGCCUUACGGGAAA
rnacentral:rRNA from 2 species